rnacentral:rRNA from 1 species
UACAGAGGUCUCAAGCGUUGUUCGGAUUCAUUGGGCGUAAAGGGUGUGUAGGUGGCGCGCUAAGUCGGGUGUGAAAUUUCGGAGCUUAACUCCGAAACUGCAUUCGAUACUGGCGUGCUUGAGGACUGGAGAGGAGACUGGAAUUCAUGGUGUAGCAGUGAAAUGCGUAGAGAUCAUGAGGAAGACCAGUGGCGAAGGCGGGUCUCUGGAACGUUUCUGACGCUGAGGCUCGAAAGCGUGGGGAGCAAACAGG